CCUACGGGUGGCUGCAGUGGGGAAUAUUGGGCAAUGGGCGCAAGCCUGACCCAGCAACGCCGCGUGAAGGAAGAAGGCUUUCGGGUUGUAAACUUCUUUUGACAGGGAAGAGCAGAAGACGGUACCUGUCGAAUAAGCCACGGCUAAAUACGUGCCAGAGGCCGCGGUAAUACGUAGGUGGCAAGCGUUGUCCGGAUUUACUGGGUGUAAAGGGCGUGUAGCCGGGCUGACAAGUCAGAUGUGAAAUCCGGGGGCUCAACCCCCGAACUGAAUUUGAAACGGUUGGUCUUGAGUAUCGGAGAGGCAGGCUGAAUUCCUAGUGUAGCGGUGAAAUGCGUAGAUAAUAGGAGGAACACCAGUGGGGAAGGCGGCCUUCUGGACUACAACUGACGGUGAGGCGCGAAAGCGUGGGGAGCAAACAGGAUUAGAGACCCGAGUAGUC
rnacentral:rRNA from 1 species